UACGUAGGCAGCAAGCGUUGUUCGGAGUUACUGGGCGUAAAGGGUGUGUAGGCGGUUAUUUAAGUUUGGUGUGAAAUCUCCCGGCUCAACCGGGAGGGUGCGCCGAAUACUGAAUGACUUGGAGUGCGGGAGAGGGAUGCGGAAUUCCAGGUGUAGCGGUGAAAUGCGUAGAUAUCUGGAGGAACACCGGUGGCGAAGGCGGCAUCCUGGACCAACACUGACGCUGAGUGAGCGAAAGCCAGGGGAGCAAACGGG
rnacentral:rRNA from 1 species